GGGGCUGAUUCUGGAUUCGACGGGAUUUGCGAAACCCAAGGUGCAUGCCGAGGGGCGGUUGGCCUCGUAAAAAGCCGCAAAAAAUAGUCGCAAACGACGAAAACUACGCUUUAGCAGCUUAAUAACCUGCUUAGAGCCCUCUCUCCCUAGCCUCCGCUCUUAGGACGGGGAUCAAGAGAGGUCAAACCCAAAAGAGAUCGCGUGGAAUGCCCUGCCUGGGGUUGAAGCGUUAAAACUUAAUCAGGCUAGUUUGUUAGUGGCGUGUCCGUCCGCAGCUGGCAAGCGAAUGUAAAGACUGACUAAGCAUGUAGUACCGAGGAUGUAGGAAUUUCGGACGCGGGUUCAACUCCCGCCAGCUCCACCA
rnacentral:tmRNA from 1 species